rnacentral:rRNA from 1 species
GUCUACGGCCAUACCACCCUGAACGCGCCCCAUCUCGUCUGAUCUCGGAAGCUAAGCAGGGUCAGGCCUGGUUAGUACUUGGAUGGGAGAAUAGCAACAUAAUAAUUGUUACUA